rnacentral:lncRNA from 1 species
AUCUCUGUCCUUAAUAGCUUCCCUUCCCCUCCCCGACAGCCCCCCACCGGUUGCGCUGCUGCUGCCCAGUCUUCCAUCUCUGGCCCCUCACUGCCACUGCCACCCCACAUGGGGCGGGGGACGCUCCAGCUGGUCUGGGGUUGGCCAGGGUCCUAGUAGCCGGCCAGGCCUGGCUCGGCCCUCUCCCCUCGCUGAGCUCUAGUGUGCCCCACCGACCCUUCAGGUGCUGCGCGGAGGAGGGGCGGCAGGCCGCGAGUCCUGCUGGGCACUAGCUAGGUCAGGUGGCCUGGGAGACCGUUGCCCUGGGGAGGCCAGAGCCCUGGCGGCCGCCCCCAGCCGAGUCCCUCACGGGGCCCCUUCCCGGGAGGGGCCUGGCCUCCUCCCCACACUGUCGGGCAACCACAGCAGAGAAGCCUCCCUGCCUCAGACCCCAAAGUCUCCCGUUCCUGCCCUGUGUGUGUGCGCACAUGUGCGAGUGUGUGAAACUCUGGGUGCAGCUGAGUGCAUCGGGGCCCUGUGUGUGCCUGAGUGGAGCAUGGUCCCCAGAGGCCACUCUGUGUGGGGGCUUCAGCGGUAUGCACAGGGUGCGUGCAUGGGUGUGUGCCCGUGAAAGCACCCCAUCUCCACUUCCAAAGAAAGAGGCACCCUAGGACCUGCUGUUUGCCCAGCCUGUCCUUGCAGAGCCUCCUCUAGCCUGAGCGGGCCUCCUCGGUGAAGCUCUGCUGCUGGGACAGGCUCCCAAGGGCCCUUGGAGGCAGUGCCCCCCCUGCUUUGGGCUUCUGGGGGGCUCAUAGAGGACCCCUAGAGUCAAGCCACCACAAGCCCUGGGGAGAGGCAAAGACCCCAGAGGACACCCCAGCCCCCCUUACUGUGACUCCUCACACUCAGCAAUGACCUGUGGGGUGGGGGGCCCUGGGACGUUUUUAAACCUAGGGUUUGGAGUCUGGACUAAGCUCCAUCCACGUCACUCACAAGUUUCUGUUUAUAUUUCUAGCUUUUUUUAAUAAAAAAAAAAAAAAACCAGAAAACUGAAGUUUUCCCAGCCCAGGGGCCUGGCACGCCGGUCUGUGCCCGCCUGCCCCACCCUGGCCCGCCGGCCCCACUCCCUGGGCAGAGUCACACCCAGUAACCCCUUCACCGACAGACCAGGUCACACACACAGCAGCAGUCACUGUAACAGACUGCCACAUACACACUCGGUCUCACACUCACCUGUGGGUUUUUGGUUCCGUUCAAUUUGGGUUUUUAACUUUACAGGGUCAGUUGUGCUCCGCCCCUCCUUUUGUAUGGAGUUCCAUCCAGGGGAUUUCACCCCUGCUCCAGUCCUGAGGCCUCCUGACCCUGACGUUGUGAUACACCCCACAGAGAUCUAUGUUUCUUAUAUUAUUAUUAUUGAUAAUAAUUAUUAUAAUAUUAUUAUGUAAUAA